CAGUUCGGAUUGCAGGCUGCAACUCGCCUGCAUGAAGUCGGAAUUGCUAGUAAUCGCGGAUCAGCAUGCCGCGGUGAAUACGUUCCCGGGCCUUGUAACACACCGCCCGUCACACCAUGAGAGCCGGGAACACCCGAAGUCCGUAGUCUAACCAUUAAGGAGGACGCGGCCGAAGGUGGGUUUGGUAAUUGGGGUGAAGUCGUAACAAGGUAGC
rnacentral:rRNA from 1 species